CUGGCUCAGGAUGAACGCUGGCGGCGUGCUUAACACAUGCAAGUCGAACGAAGCAGUUAUCACGAUCCCUUCGGGGUGACGAUUACUGACUGAGUGGCGGACGGGUGAGUAACGCGUGGGUAACCUGCCUGUACAGGGGGACAACAGUUGGAAACGACUGCUAAUACCGCAUAAGCGCACAGCUUCGCAUGAAGCAGUGUGAAAAGUAUUUUCGGUACAAGAUGGACCCGCGUCUGAUUAGCUAGUUGGUGAGGUAACGGCCCACCAAGGCGACGAUCAGUAGCCGACCUGAGAGGGUGACCGGCCACAUUGGGACUGAGACACGGCCCAAACUCCUACGGGAGGCAGCAGUGGGGAAUAUUGCACAAUGGGCGAAAGCCUGAUGCAGCCGACGCCGCGUGAGCGAAGAAGUAUUUCGGUAUGUAAAGCUCUAUCAGCAGGGAAGAUAAUGACGGUACCUGACUAAGAAGCACCGGCUAAAUACGUGCCAGCCGCCGC
rnacentral:rRNA from 1 species